GUGGGGAAUAUUGGACAAUGGGGGGAACCCUGAUCCAGCCAUGCCGCGUGUGUGAAGAAGGCCUUUUGGUUGUAAAGCACUUUAAGCGAGGAGGAGGCUACCGAGAUUAAUACUCUUGGAUAGUGGACGUUACUCGCAGAAUAAGCACCGGCUAACUCUGUGCCAGCAGCCGCGGUAAUACAGAGGGUGCAAGCGUUAAUCGGAUUUACUGGGCGUAAAGCGCGCGUAGGUGGCAAAUUAAGUCAAAUGUGAAAUCCCCGAGCUUAACUUGGUAAUUGUAUUCGAUACUGGUUGGCUAGAGUAUGGGAGAGGAUGGUAGAAUUCCAGGUGUAGCGGUGAAAUGCGUAGAGAUCUGGAGGAAUACCGAUGGCGAAGGCAGCCAUCUGGCCUAAUACUGACACUGAGGUGCGAAAGCAUGGGGAGCAAACAGGAUUAGAUACCCGAGUAGUCC
rnacentral:rRNA from 1 species